GCCAUGUGAGAUGUACCUUUCACUUUCCUCCAUGAUUGUGAGGCCUCCUUAGCCACAUGGAACUGAAAUGCUGGAGUCCUUCAUCCGAAUGGUAAAUGGCACUUGUGACAAAAAUCAAAGUAACUAAAAAAGAAUCUGGUUGAAACCUCAGUAACAGUUGGCCUGUCUACUGCCUCACACUAACAAGGGGGAGCUAAUAAAACCGAGGUUAGAACACACAAUGUGGAAAUGAAAACCUUAUUCUUGUCAAUGGAUGGAGGGUGGAUUCUGUUAUGUGGAAUGCCUUUAUACAUCUUUGUCUACUGGUUGGGAUGCUGCUCAUUUCCCUUUUCCUGAAAGCUUUCCAGACACUCAAGUGACCCCCACCUUUACAAGUGUCUGUAAUUCUCACUAGCAGUAUAUUAGAGGGCAAAAGAUUUGAACAGACACAUCAGAAAAGAAGACAUACAAAUGGCCGCUAAGCACUUGAAAGGAUUCUGAACACCAUUAGUCAUCAGUGAAAUGCAAAUUAAAGCCAUAAUGAAUGGCGCUAUACAUUUUCAGAAUGGCAAGGAUUGAAGACCGAAAAAAAUCAAGCGUUGAGGAGAGUGACAAAUGGGGAGACAGCCGUGGUGCAUGAUCGCCGAAUAAAUACCAUGUGAGGAUACAGCAAGAAGGUGGCCAUCUACAAGCCAAGGAGACAGGCCUCAGAAGAAACCAACCCUUCUUACACCCUGGACUCAGACUUCUAAUCUCCAGAACUUGUUAAUGCACAAGGUCUUGUGUUGAAAAUGUAGAGCCACGAGAUAAAAGCAGCUUGGAUGGCUGACUCAUAUACAAGGACAACUGCCUGAGAGUCACCAGGGCUAUCAAGAAGUUUGCAGAAACAAGAAAUAAACUUUUACUGUUUUAAACUUUUGUGAAUUUUGGGUUUUGUUUAUCACCAAAUAAACCUAGUCUAUUCUGAUUGUUAUAAGUGGUUAAUUUGGGAAGUCAGAUAUAUUUAAAAUUGGCUUACUGCUGUAACAUAUACAGUCCAAAUUACAUAAUGGCUCAAAUGCAAUAGAAGUCUUUUUUUUUUUUGCUCACAUAUCACUUCACUGAGAUUCUGCAUUAAUUGUAAUGAUGAGGGUGAGGGUGUCU
rnacentral:lncRNA from 1 species